rnacentral:lncRNA from 1 species
AUAUACAAGACUUUGCGCUCCCUUUUUAGGGUAAAAAUUUAUGGGACUUGUCAUAGUUAGAAUCUGGUCUGUCAAAAGAUGAUUAGUUAAAAAAGUGAAUGGCUGCUUAAUUGCUCAAUUAAAGAAAAGGAUACAAGAAACAGAAUCAAGAGUAAUUUUUUUUAUUUUAUUUCGAGCAGAAUUGUCUUCAACUAAUUGAAGCAGACUGGUGAACUAGUGACACAAUGAUUUGAAGAACCAGUCCUAAGAUGAGCUGUGGUGCACGGAACUUCCUCCAAAUCUCUUAAACCACUGUAAGUGCUAGCAAGUUGGAGUUCAGUUAGCAUCUGUCGAAGAUCAGAAGCUUCUUUCUUGAGCCUUGCAUUUUCUUGUACAACUCUGUCAUGAUCCCCUGAAACAUUAUUCAACUUGUCUAGGAGAUCAUGGUUCUCUGUUCUUAAACGGACAACCUGCGACCACAACUCAUCUAGGUGCUUUUGCUUUCUCAUCCUCGACCUACGCGCAGAUUCUCUGUUGGAAAUCAUUCUUCUUUUCUUUCUCUCAUUGAUGAUGCUAAGCUGAAACUCAUCU